rnacentral:rRNA from 1 species
UACGUAGGAGACGAGCGUUGUCCGGAAUUACUGGGCGUAAAGCGCGUGUAGGCGGACCGGCAAGUCUGCUGUGAAAGCUCCUGGCUUAACCGGGAGUGGUCGGUGGAAACUGCCAGUCUGGAGGACGGUAGAGGUAGGUAGAAUUCCCGGUGUAGUGGUGAAAUGCGUAGAGAUCGGGAGGAAUACCUGUGGCGAAGGCGGCCACCUGGACCAGCACUGACACUGAGGCACGAAAGCGUGGGGAGCAAACAGG